CAGUCGCCACGGUAAUACGAAGGGUGCAAGCGUUGCUCGGAAUUACUGGGCGUAAGGGCGCGUAGGCGGCGCUCCAAGUUAGGCGUGAAAUUCCCGGGCUCAACCUGGGAACUGCAUCUUAUACUGGGUAACUGGAGUGCAGUAGAGGGUAGUGGAAUUUCCGGUGUAGCGGUGAAAUGCGUAGAUACCGGAAGGAACACCAGUGGCGAAGGCGGCUACCUGGACUGAGACUGACACUGAGGCGCGAGAGCGUGGGGAGCAAACAGGAUUAGAGACCCCGGUAGUCCCUGUCUCUUAUACC
rnacentral:rRNA from 1 species